rnacentral:rRNA from 1 species
UGGGGAAUCUUCCGCAAUGGACGAAAGUCUGACGGAGCAACGCCGCGUGAGUGAUGACUGCCUUCGGGUUGUAAAGCUCUGUUAAUCGGGACGAAUGGUUCUUGUGCGCAUAGUGCGAGGAUUUGACGGUACCGGAAUAGAAAGCCACGGCUAACUACGUGCCAGCAGCCGCGGUAAUACGUAGGUGGCAAGCGUUGUCCGGAAGUAUUGGGCGUAAAGCGCGGGCAGGCGGAUUGGUCAGUCUGUCUUAAAAGUUCGGGGCUUAACCCCGUGAUGGGAUGGAAACUGUCAAGCUAGAGUAUCGGAGAGGAAAGUGGAAUUCCUAGUGUAGUGGUGAAAUGCGUAGAUAUUAGGAAGAACACCAGUGGCGAAGGCGACUUUCUGGACGAAAACUGACGCUGAGGCGCGAAAGCCAGGGGAGCGAACGGG